rnacentral:rRNA from 8 species
GGUUAAGCGACUAAGCGUACACGGUGGAUGCCCUGGCAGUCAGAGGCGAUGAAGGGCGUGCUAAUCUGCGAUAAGCGCCGGUAAGGUGAUAUGAACCGUUAUAACCGGCGAUACCCGAAUGGGGAAACCCAGUGUGACUCGUCACACUAUCAUUAACUGAAUCCAUAGGUUAAUGAGGCGAACCGGGGGAACUGAAACAUCUAAGUACCCCGAGGAAAAGAAAUCAACCGAGAUUCCCCCA